rnacentral:lncRNA from 1 species
AUCUGAAGGAAAACGCUAUUGAUAAUGAAAUGGGGUUUAUUGAAUUAACUGUUCCAUUUAGCAGACACAUGAGCAGAACCCAGGAUGGAAGAAUGUAAUCACCAGCGUGACUCCAGUGAUGGAACUGAACUAGAUGUGGAGACUGGGGAGCAGCAGAGUCAACUCAGUUAUCAUCUCGGCGGCCGGGCUGCCGUCCAGCUCGCAGAAGCCAUCUGAUCUGGAAAAGAUUUCCAACGCCUGCUGGAGCUGUUUCCAUACAGGCAGAGGCCAGUGUCAUCUCCAGCACCUGGGAGACAUAAGAGAAAGAGCCAGUGGCCUUCCUCCGAGACAAUCUCAAAUGAAUAUGCUUGACCCAGACAAGGGAAGGAUCACACAGACUCUGUCGAGGAAGCUGGCCACUGCCUUUGAAGAAGUUGGCCCAACACUGCUGUUCCAGAAGAAAGAAGCCUCGUCAGCAGUGUAAGUGUGACGGUCGGUCUCCUUGCACAAUUGCCCGGUUUUGGUUGGUUUGUUCCCCCACCUUAUUGCUAUUUAAAUACAGUUUUGAUGAUUUUGUUUGCUUUGGAAGAAGAAAAUAAAGAUUCACAGAAGGUAUAAAAUUGCAUGUUAUUUACC